GCCUUUACUGGCGUCAUAACGGCUGUUAUUUGCUGUUCUUGGGCAGCAAGCUAAUCGCCUGUUGGGGUUCCUAGAUGUCGUUGGAGUGCUUGGUUGAAAAUUCAGAUUAUUGAUGUGUCUACUUGUUAGUCUUGCGCUCAACUCUUGUAGCCACUUUGGGGUGAUUGGGAUUUACUCCCUUAUAGAUACUCCUGCGAAGUAGCUGUCAACUUGGUGAAGUUAAUCUUUAAAGUAUAGUGACCAACGUGGAUACCCCGGGAGGUCACUCUCCCCGGGCUCUGUCCUGGUGGCGUAUGGGAGCAUAGGGCUCUGCCCCAUGAUGUACAGUCCCUUUCCACAACGUUGGAGAUGAAGCUGGGCCUUGAGUCUGCGCCUGCAUAUUCCUACAGCUUCUCAGAGUCCUGUGGACGAUGACUGAGGAGACAAACCAUGCAGGAAACAGCUCUCUAGAGCAGCAUAUCUGAAUCUAGGUUGAUCUGAAGUGAAUGAAAAAUUUAUUUUAAUCAGUUUCGGUGUACUGCUGGAUUAAAGCUCUUACCUGCUUUGUUUUGCAGCAUUCGUUUGGGAUUCCAAAUAAUUUGAUUCGGGGAGAGAAGAGGAGCCUUACCUGACUUGUGCAGUUAACAAUGCUUUGGGGGCCUUUAUUUGGCAGGGAGAUUAGUAAAGUGAGUAAUUCACUAUUUUUGGAAGAUCAGCCUGGGCAAUUUGAAAAUGUUAAGUUUCAGCACAAUGUUUAACCCUGGAAUUGCACCUUAAAAACCAGCAGAGUAAUAGUGUUCUGUUAACCAGGUGCCUUUUGAAAUUUAGAAGGAAUUCCAGAAGACACUUGUGUGGGCAGGUCUGUGGACAGUAUAGUGACCUGGGAGUCCCAAGAGACCCUUUCAGGUUUCCUGUGAGGUGGAAACUUGAUGUACUGAUACUAAGAUCUUGGCCAUUCUCAAGUAAACUGGAUUUUCUUAAAAGUGGAAAGCAGAUGCCCAUGAGAAUCUACAUGUCUUAAUAAAGAGAUCCAUGUCAGUUUCUAAUGUACUCGGGUGAAUUACAAUAAAGGUGACUAUAUACAUAA